rnacentral:rRNA from 1 species
UACGUAGGGUGCAAGCGUUGUCCGGAAUUAUUGGGCGUAAAGAGCUCGUAGGCGGUUCUGUCGCGUCUGCUGUGAAAACCCGAGGCUCAACCUCGGGCCUGCAGUGGGUACGGGCAGACUAGAGUGCGGUAGGGGAGAUUGGAAUUCCUGGUGUAGCGGUGGAAUGCGCAGAUAUCAGGAGGAACACCGAUGGCGAAGGCAGAUCUCUGGGCCGUAACUGACGCUGAGGAGCGAAAGCAUGGGGAGCGAACAGG